UUUAACUGCAUAUAUCAGCAUUAAAUAGUUACUCAAGAGAUGUUUGAAGCAGUCAUUUUCAUAAGUAUGAAAUAUUUUUGCAGGCAACCCUAGCACUCUAGCUGGCCACCGGUUUCUGGAGUUGCUCCGAGAAGACGAGAUGGCUUUUGACAACCUUUUCUGCAUCGCCUUCAAGUUGUUGGACGCACAGUGGCUUGCAAAGCGCGCUUCAUAUAUGGAAUUUAAUGAUGUUCUCAAGUCAACAAGAUCACAACUAGAGCGCGAGAUGGCACUGGAAGAUGUCUCAACAGUGAGAGAUUUGCCAGCUUAUAAUUUACUGAGAAGAUAGUAUUGAUGGUAUAAUCUUUCAUGAUACUUUUGUAAAUACCUUUUGUUUUUUAAUUUUUUUUCCCCUGGCCUUUGAAUUUGUUGUUCCAAUUAACCAUAUGUGAGACCAGCUUUCAUACCAGAAGCUGUAAAUUUCUGUGUAUAAAGUUUGAAGCACUGUUUUCUUGCAUUUGGUGGUUGAGUUUCCUACCCAAGGAAUAAAUUUCUCCUUUGCUUCUUAUUA